GGGGGGAGUGCGGUGGUGAUCAAUGGGCCUAGUCCAGAAGACUCUGUCUGUAUGUCCCAUAGGGAGGUCACAAACAAGUCCUUAUUGAGGGCAGAUAUCUGGACUCACCACAUUCAGUAACUGGGAGGGAGCUGAGAACUGGAAAUUUGGUUGGCAGAGAUUCAGACAGAGUAUCCAUCUUGACAAGUCCUUUCAGAAACAGUAGCAGGGAGAAAGUGGAUAUAGAGAAUCAUGCACUAAGCUUCGAAAGUUUAUAAGCAAAAGUGCCAUGGGUUUCUUCUACUCAGACUCCAAUGUCCAGGGGCUUUAUGAUAGCUGACAAGAAGCAUUUUGUACUCAACUCCUCCACUAGAAGCACCAAAAUUAUGAAUAGAUUAUCACACCUCAAAUCGAUGAAACAAGAGAACAUGGAAAUUCAAUGGAAAAGUGACAGACAAUAAUUAAAGCAAAGGAGAAGGAAGCAAGGCAGCUUGCAAGGCCAGCAGUGGCUGAGAGCUGAGAGAUACUCCCCAGUAUGGAGAAAGAGUAAGCGAAAUACCCUCAGAGGUUUACGUUUGCAUCAUGUACUCUGGCAAUCCUAGCCAUAGGAAAGACCCUUAACCCUUGAGGACCCUGAAACUAACAUAAAGAGCUAGAAGGAAAUUGUGUGAAGGCACUGCACCAAUGAGGAAGGUAGCACUGAGUCCCACACAUUCUCUGAGACCACAGCAGCUACAGCAAGGCACCAUUUUAGAGCCCCAUCCUCAACAGACUGCUCACUGUGCUAGAGUCCAACAUCACUGGGGCUGAGGCACAAGAGAUGUGACAGCUGCUGCCACCAGGCCUUAGGUGCAAGCAACCAUGGUGGACCACACCUGAGACUGAGCAGCAAGCAAGGCUCCCCAAUAACUGCACUUCACCUGUAAAGACAUAUAAAGUCUGAAAAUAAAGGAAUGACAAAAGAUAUUUCACGUAAAUGCAAGCUAGCAGGACUAGCUCUAGUUAGAGUAGAUAAAACAGACUCCAAGUUAAAAGCAGUUAAAAAAAAAAAAAAAGAAAAAGAGGACAAUGAAGGGCAUCAUAUAAUGAUAAAAGGAAAAAAUCUGGCAAAAGGAUAUAACAAUUCUAAAUAUGUAUGCACCCAACACUGGAGCACCCAGAUUAAUAAAGCAUAUAUUCCUAGAUCUAAAGAGAGAGACAGACUGCAAUACAAUAAUAGUGGAGGACGUUAACAAUGCACUAGCAGCAUUAAACAGAUCAUCUAGACAGAAAAUCAAAAAAGAAACAUUGAAUGUAAACUGGAUCUUGGACCAAAGGGACCUAACAGACAUUUACAGAACAUUUUAUCCAAUAACUGCAAAAUAUACUACACAUUCUUCUCAUCACUACAUGGAACAUUCUCCAGGAUAGGCCAUAUGUUAUUCUUCAAAGCAGUUUCAACACAUUUAAAAAAAUUAUAUUAUCUUCUAAGAACACAAUGGAAUAUAACUAGAUAUCAACACGACGAGGAACUUUUGAAACUGUACAAAUACAUGGAUGUGAAAUAACACGCUCCUGAACAGCCAUUGGGUCAAUGAAUAAAUUAAUAUAAAAAUAAAAAAAAAUUAUCACAAACGAAAAUGGAAACACAACAUACCGAAACCUAUGGGAUUCAACAAAAGCAGUACUAAGAGGGGAAUUUGUAGCAAUAAACAUGUAUAUCAAAAGAGUAGAAAAUUUUCAAAUAGUAUAACAAUGCACCUCAAGGAAUUAGAGUAGCAUGAACCAGACAAAGCCGAAAUUAGCAAAAGGAAAGAAAUAAUAAAGAUCAAAGCAGAACUAAAUGAAAUAGACAUUAAAAAACACACAAGUUCAGUGAAAAGUUGAUUCUUUGAAAGGAUAAAAAAAUGAUUAAAUGUUAGCUAGACUAACCACGAAAAGACCCAAAUAAACAAAAUCAGAAAUGAAAAAAGCAACAUUGCAACUAAUACUACAGAAAUACAAAAUAUCAUCAGAGAUUAUGAACAACUGUGUAUUAAAAUAGUGGAAAACAUAGAGAAAAUGGGUAUAUUUCUGUAAACAUACAACCUAUCAAGAUUAUAUGAGAAAGAAAUAGAAAAUCUGAACAGAUCAAUAAUGAGUAGUGAUAUUAAACCACUGAUAAAAAAUCUUUCAACAAAUAAAAGCUCAUGGCUGAAUGGAUUCACUAUGGAAUUCUACCAAACAUAGAAAAAGGAAAUAGUACCAAUCCUUCUCAAAGUAUUUCAAAAAACUGAAGAGAAUUCUUUCUAACUCAUUGUAAGAGGCCAGCAUUCCCCUGAUACCAAACUAACCAGAGGCCUAACAACAACAAAAAUACUUACAGGUCAAUAUCCCUUAUGAAGAUAGAUGCAAAAAUUUUCAACAACAUAAUAGCAAAUAAAAUUCAGCAGGACAUCAAAAAGAUAAUACAUCAUGAUCUAUUGGGAUUUUUCUUAAGGAUUCAAGGAUGGUUUAACAUAUGCAAAUCUAUUGAAGGGAUAUAUCACAUCAUGAAAAUGAAGACAGAAACAUAUACUCACAAUAGAUGUAGAAAAAGCAUUUGAUAAAAUUCAACAUCUCUUCAUGACAAAAACUCAAUGAACUAGACAUAUGAGAAACAUACCUCAGAAUAAUAAAGGCUACAUAUGACAAAUCCACAGCUAAUGUCAUUCUGAAUGGGAAAGGUUGAGAGUCUUUCCUCUAAGCACUAGAAUAAAACAAGAAUGUUCACUUUCAUCACUCUUUUUCAACUACACCAAAAUAACUCUUAGUGCUUAAAAAUAAAUUCAGUACAGUUGCAGAAGACAAAAUUAACAUAUACAAGUUAGUAACAUUUCUAUACAAUAAUUAAAUAGUUGAAAAAUAAAUCAAGUUGGUAAUCCUAUUUCCAGGAGCUACAAUAAAAACAAAAUACCUAGGAGUAAAUUUAACUAAGUAGGUAAAAGAUCUGUUCAAGGAAAACUAUAAGACAUUGAUGAAAAAAUUGAACAAACAAAUGAAAAGACAUCUUAUAGUCAUGGAUAAGAAGAAUUAAUAUCAUUGAAAUGACCAUACUACCCCAAAUAAAAUACACAUUCAAUGCCCUCCCUAUCAAAAUACCAUUUCCAUUUUUCACAGAAAUAGAAAAGCAAUCCUAAAAUUUUAAUGGAACCAAGAUGUAGUCGGAAUAGCCAAAGCAAUCCUAAGCAAAAAGAACGAAGUUCAAAACCUCACACAAACUGACUUCAGAUUAUAAGGCUAUAAUAAUCAAAACAGCAUGGCACUGGUAUAGAAAUAGACACAAUGGAACAGAAUAAAGCACCCAGAAAUAAAUCCAAA
rnacentral:lncRNA from 1 species